rnacentral:rRNA from 1 species
CCUACGGGGCGCAGCAGUGAGGAAUAUUGGUCAAUGGGCGGAAGCCUGAACCAGCCAAGUCGCGUGAGGGAAUAACGCGCCUUACGUGUAGGGCUUUGCAUGUACCGUAUGAAUAAGGACCGGCUAAUUCCGUGCCAGCAGCCGCGGUAAUACGGAAGGUCCGGGCGUUAUCCGGAUUUAUUGGGUUUAAAGGGAGCGUAGGCCGCAUGUCAAGCGUGCUGUGAAAUGUCCGGGCUCAACCCGGGCCUUGCAGCGCGAACUGGCGUGCUUGAGUCCGCGGAAAGCAGGCGGAAUUCGUCGUGUAG